rnacentral:rRNA from 1 species
GAUGAACGCUGGCGGCGUGCCUCAAACAUGCAAGUCGAGCGGGGCUAUGUAAUAUCGCAAGGUAGAACAUAGCCUAGCGGCGAACGGGUGAGUAACACGUGGGUAACCUGCCUGGAAGACAGGGAUAACGAUUCGAAAGGGUCGCUAAUACCUGAUAAUAUCCUUUCAUCGCAUGGUGAUAGGAAGAAAGGGGAAACCCGCUUUCAGAUGGGCCCGCGUCCCAUCAGCUAGUUGGUAAGGUAAAGGCUUACCAAGGCGACGACGGGUAGCCGGUCUGAGAGGAUGUACGGCCACACUGGGACUGAGAUACGGCCCAGACUCCUACGGGAGGCAGCAGUUGGGAAUCUUAGGCAAUGGACGAAAGUCUGACCUAGCGACGCCGCGUGAGGGAAGAAGGCCUUCGGGUUGUAAACCUCUGUCAUGGGGGAAGAAGGAAGUGACGGUACCCCAAGAGGAAGCCCCUGCUAACUACGUGCCAGCAGCCGCGGUAAUAGUUCUAU